rnacentral:rRNA from 1 species
AGUGAACGCUGGCGGUAGGCCUAACACAUGCAAGUCGAACGGCAGCACAGUAAGAGCUUGCUCUUACGGGUGGCGAGUGGCGGACGGGUGAGGAAUACAUCGGAAUCUACUUUUUCGUGGGGGAUAACGUAGGGAAACUUACGCUAAUACCGCAUACGACCUACGGGUGAAAGCAGGGGAUCUUCGGACCUUGCGCGAUUGAAUGAGCCGAUGUCGGAUUAGCUAGUUGGCGGGGUAAAGGCCCACCAAGGCGACGAUCCGUAGCUGGUCUGAGAGGAUGAUCAGCCACACUGGAACGGAGACACGGUCCAGACUCCUACGGGAGGAAGCAGUGGGGAAUAUUGGACAAUGGGCGCAAGCCUGAUCAAGCCAUACCGCGUGGGUGAAGAAGGCCUUCGGGUUGUAAAGCCCUUUUGUUGGGAAAGAAAAGAAGCAGGUUAAUACCCCGCUGUUCUGACGGUACCCAAAGAAUAAGCACCGGCUAACUUCGUG